rnacentral:rRNA from 1 species
GAUGAACGCUGGCGGUCUGCUUAACACAUGCAAGUCGAGCGGUAACAGAGAUAGCUUGCUAUCUGCUGACGAGCGGCGGACGGGUGAGUAACGCGUAGGAAUCUACCUAGUAGUGGGGGACAACAGUUGGAAACGACUGCUAAUACCGCAUACGCCCUACGGGGGAAAGCAGGGAUCUUCGGACCUUGCGCUAUUAGAUGAGCCUGCGUCGGAUUAGCUGGUUGGUGGGGUAAUGGCCUACCAAGGCGACGAUCCGUAGCUGGUCUGAGAGGAUGAUCAGCCACACUGGGACUGAGACACGGCCCAGACUCCUACGGGAGGCAGCAGUGGGGAAUAUU